GAUGAAGAACGUAGCGAAAUGCGAUAAGUAGUGUGAAUUGCAGAAUUCAGUGAAUCAUCGAAUCUUUGAACGCACAUUGCGCCCCUUGGUAUCCCGAGGGGCAUGCCUGUUCGAGCGUCAUUUCACCACUCAAGCCUGGCUUGGUGUUGGGCGACGUCCCCUUUGGGGACGCGCCUCGAAACGCUCGGCGGCGUGGCACCGGCUUUAAGCGUAGCAGAAUCUUUGGCUUUGGAAGUCGGGGCCCCGUCUGCCGGAAGACCUACUCGCAAGGUUGACCUCGGAUCAGGCAGGGAUACCCGCUGAACUUAAGCAUAUCAAUAAGCGGAGGA
rnacentral:misc_RNA from 1 species